AAGUUGGCAUCCCCUAACAUAGCGGCACUUUUGCAUUCCAUGCUUAUAUCAAAUAAGUUUUUUUAUUUGUAGUUCUGUACAUCACACAACUGCUCAAUUGGGCCAUAUAUGUACAUCAUGCACAGCAACCGCCUGUCGCCACUGGUCUACGAUCGGGAAACGAAUACAACGGUUGUCGAUGAUGUGACCACGGCUGCCGCCGAUGAUAAACAGCACUCGUAGAAGAGUGCCGAUCCGCUUAGUGCGCUGCUAAUAGCCUGUGCGCUUAGUUUAUUGAUUAGCUUAAUACACUCGCAGAUUGUUGCAACAAAUACGUCGCCGAGCGACAGCAACAAGAACAAAUUGCGUCUCAUUUCCAUGUGCGCUUUUGGCGAGAAACCGAAUAGGCCUAGAGAGCAUCGAUUGCGGCGACGCAAAACCCAGCAGCAAUCAUUUAUUGAGCGCACGACGUAGCAAACCGACUCAGAUUUAAUGCCCUACAAGGCUACGAGUGCAUCGAUUCGCUGGGCAUGACCAAGGAUUACAUUUACAUAGGCCUCGUCUGUACAUAUAUAUAUAUAUAUAUAUAUGUUUGUUUUAUUUAUAAAUAAAAUUGCAUACUGGUCGCAAAUGGUUAAAUUUUAAAA